rnacentral:sRNA from 1 species
UGGCCGUGUGUCUCUGCUUGCGGCAGAGUA